CAGCCGCCGCGGGAAUACGGAGGAUCCAAGCGUUAUCCGGAAUCAUUGGGUUUAAAGGGUCCGUAGGCGGUCUUGUAAGUCAGUGGUGAAAGCCCAUCGCUCAACGGUGGAACGGCCAUUGAUACUGCAGGACUUGAAUUAUUGGGAAGUAACUAGAAUAUGUAGUGUAGCGGUGAAAUGCUUAGAGAUUACAUGGAAUACCAAUUGCGAAGGCAGGUUACUACCAAUUGAUUGACGCUGAUGGACGAAAGCGUGGGUAGCGAACAGGAUUAGAUACCCCCGUAGUCCCUGUCUCUUAUAA
rnacentral:rRNA from 1 species